ACCCCCCCCCGGGAGGGGGCCUGGGAGGUUUUCCGGACCCCGCGGUUCCCCAAGUUAGGGGCUCUUCCUCGGGGACCCCCCCCCCCCCCCCGGAGCUGGGCCUGCAGGUGCUCUCGACCCCGCUGCUCCUCCAGCUCUGGGCUCUUACUCCGUGCCUCCCCCGCCCCCCCCAGGUAGCAGGUCCCUGCAGGUGCUCCCGACCCCGCUGGGCUCUCCGUACAUGAGCGCAAGUCGGUCUCUUGCAGCGCAAGACCUGAGCGCGCUGGAGCCGGGGCGGAGCCAUGAGGUCUGCAGGUUUGGGGCCCUGGAGCCCCCGCGGGCCUGCGCCUGGCAGCGGGGGAGCCGGAGCCGGACUGCGCGGAACACGGGGAGGACGUGAUGCUAGAAAGGCUGUGUUGGAAUCGACAGAUUCUGUAAAACCUCUUGGUGACUUCCUCCGCACCAGUGCCCAACAAAUGUCUGAACUGUUGAGCGUCCAAGACAAGGAAAGCGUGACCUGUAUGUGGCCCGAGAACUGAAUGGACCCAACGUGGAGAAGAACAAGACAGCUCCGCGGUAUAAUGGUUGAACUGGGGGAAUAAGGCAACUUGAUAGUUGUGUGAGACUUAAAAGUAUGAAAAAAAAAAAAAAAGCUAAUGGGUAUUUAUUGAAAUUAUCUAAGUGUGAGUUGUUUUUUUUUUUUUU
rnacentral:lncRNA from 12 species